UCGAGCGGAAGAAGGGAGCUUGCUCCCGGAUGUUAGCGGCGGACGGGUGAGUAACACGUGGGUAACCUGCCUGUAAGACUGGGAUAACUCCGGGAAACCGGAGCUAAUACCGGAUAGUUCCUUGAACCGCAUGGUUCAAGGAUGAAAGACGGUUUCGGCUGUCACUUACAGAUGGACCCGCGGCGCAUUAGCUAGUUGGUGGGGUAAUGGCUCACCAAGGCGACGAUGCGUAGCCGACCUGAGAGGGUGAUCGGCCACACUGGGACUGAGACACGGCCCAGACUCCUACGGGAGGCAGCAGUAGGGAAUCUUCCGCAAUGGACGAAAGUCUGACGGAGCAACGCCGCGUGAGUGAUGAAGGUUUUCGGAUCGUAAAGCUCUGUUGUUAGGGAAGAACAAGUGCGAGAGUAACUGCUCGCACCUUGACGGUACCUAACCAGAAAGCCACGGCUAACUACGUGCCAGCAG
rnacentral:rRNA from 1 species